rnacentral:misc_RNA from 1 species
GAACAACGUUCUCUUGUCUGAAUGUUUCUAUGAAUCGCUGGAUUAGACCACUUUGUACAUACAAGAAACGCAAAGCACUCGGCAAUGCCAAAAUUUAUAAAUAAGUCCCACCAGCCAAGAGCACCAACAUUCCCUGCAAAGAUUAACAUGAUGCAAAUAAAUUGAUAAGAUGCGCUCAAUGCUCUCAGUAUUCAGUCAUACACAUACCUAACUAAAAAGAAACGAUCUACCACU